rnacentral:lncRNA from 1 species
CGAAGCUACAGACAGUACAGAACACCGCACUCAGGAUAGCGACUGGAUGCCUCCUGAUGUCGCCAGAACACCACCUUCAUAACGAGGCACAAAUGCUCCCAAUCAAGGAGAAUAGCAUAAUGCUCUGCAAGCAGUAUUUGAUUGGGAGCCACCGAUGUGGCCACCCAAACAGACCGCUGCUUGCAAAGGAGCCCUCGCCUAGGCCCGUCAGGAGGCAUCUAUACGAACUGACGGACGAAAUCCAGAGGUUCAUCAAGCAGCCUCUGGACCCGUCAGCAUACCGAAUGGCCCUGAACGGUAUUCACGGAGACAAGAAAAACAAUAGCCCAACUACAGCAGGUUAAACUCAUACCUGAGUAGACUGAAUGCGGAUGUGCCAAAUGAGUGUCCGGCAUGAGGAGAGACCCCUCACGACUCGAAACAUCUCUUCGCAUGCCCGGAAAUCCCUACAACCCUAACGGCAUUGUCCCUGCGGACCGACCCUGUAGAGGCUGCAUGCUUCCUAGGGCUGCCGUUAGUGGAACUUGACGGCAACGAGUGAGAUAUCAACCGAUCUGGGCGGGGUUAUUGUAGCCGCUACAACAACAACAACAACUCUGGGCGGUUUGGAUCGGGGUAAGGAGGACGGGGCCAUCGCCAGGGAAGACUGGAGGAAGUUGUCGUCGGCCUUAUCAGGAGUUUUCAUGAGGGUGGUCAGGGAGAACCCGGGGCCACCGCCGCGGUGCGAGAGUGCUGGUUGGCACCAGGGUAUGUUUAGGAAGGUGGUGUACGCCGACGGGCGGUCGGCCUCGCUCUACAGGGCUGCAGUAGCGUUGAUCGAGGAGGUGUGGAAGGGAGCCAGACUCGAAAGCCUCGCCGAAAAAACGGAGUAAUUUACUUUAGCUUCGAGAAGAUAGUCAUGAAGGUCUACAAGACUGACUCCAGGGGAGAGGACGAGCCUGUUCCGGUUGCGCUGGCGGGCAUAAACACGAAUGCGGAGGAUGCCCCGUAGGUAUGGAGGUCGAAUCCGUCAUGUCGGACAGUGACAGCAUUGCUAGCCCUCCUUCUGCUGCGGGAUCGGUCAUUUCUGUUGGCCCGCUGUUCGACAGGGCGGAGGAGGAAAUGCUCCUUGUGUCCGAUGGGGAUGGCGCCUGCGGAGGCCUGCUGGAGAGGAUUUCGGAGAAUGAAUAUUUUUCAGAUCAAUCUUCAGCACUCUUAGGCGGCGUCAGCCAACCUCUUAAUCCGCCUUGAGAAAGGUGGAGUUGAUGUAGUCCUGAUCCAGGAGCCGUGGCUGAGCAGUUGCAAUACGGUUUCUGGUAUCGGGACGAGGGACUACAGACUGGUGGCGCAGCGGGACGCAGCGAUCGUGACAUUGUGACGGUGAGCCUGGAGGGUGCAACCGGUGAACUCUGGUUGAUCUCCGCUUAUAUGGCGCACGAGGACGGAGUGGAGCCACCUCCGCGCUUAAUAAGGAAUGCGGUGGCAGAAGCUAGACGCAGGAGGGCCGCGUUGUUAUUGUGUGUGACACGAAUUCCCACCAUACGAUUUGGGGCAUCUCAGACAUCAACACUAGAGGUGAGUCACUCUUUAACUCUAUUCUAAAUGAAAAUGUAUGUAUAUGUAAUAGGGGGAGCGACCCCACUUUUGUAACGGCAAGUAGAGAAGAGGUUUUAGAUAUCCCUCUGGCCUCUUCUGAUAUAAUGUCCCGUAUAUCUGCCUGGAGAGUCAUUAGUGACCACUCCUCCGAUCAUCGGUACAUACGAUUUGCUAUGGACGAAGAGCGUCCUAAGUACGAACCUUACUGGAAUCUGAGGAGAACCAACUGGGACUCUGUAAAAAACGCCUUUGCGCACUAUGAAAGUGUAUGUAUACAUGUUGCGGAAACAAAAUCAUUUUUCUGACCAAAAAUUUGUAUCUACGGUAUACACUAGUGCUAUGGUGCGAAACUUCACUAACCCUACGGUUCGAUAAAGCAGAGGUGAGCAUGAGUGUGUGGAUGUGUGAUCCUGUCAAAAGGGAGCUUUGAAAGAUACAUGAAUAGUCGAAGAUUGAGCCGUUCGUUUUGGCCUACACUUUCAUCUAUAAAAGGCCCAUGUUGAAGUCAACAACGGCACAAUUAUAAAGUUGCGGUGCGCGGUUACAGUGUGCGUUGAGUGCGGUCUUUUUAUAACCGAUCAAA